rnacentral:rRNA from 1 species
UACGUAGGGGGCUAGCGUUGUCCGGAAUCAUUGGGCGUAAAGCGCGCGUAGGCGGCCAGAUAAGUCCGGUGUGAAAGUCAGAGGCUCAACCUUUGAAUGCCGCUGGAAACUGUCGGGCUGGAGUCCGGAAGAGGCGAGUGGAAUUCCUGGUGUAGCGGUGAAAUGCGCAGAUAUCAGGAGGAACACCAAUGGCGAAGGCAGCUCGCUGGGACGGUACUGACGCUGAGACGCGAAAGCGUGGGGAGCAAACAGG